CCUACGGGGUGCAGCAGUGGGGAAUAUUGGACAAUGGGCGAAAGCCUGAUCCAGCCAUGCCGCGUGUGUGAAGAAGGCCUUCGGGUUGUAAAGCACUUUCAGUGGGGAAGAAAGCCUUGGGGCUAAUACCCUCGAGGAAGGACAUCACCCACAGAAGAAGCACCGGCUAACUCCGUGCCAGCAGCCGCGGUAAUACGGAGGGUGCGAGCGUUAAUCGGAAUUACUGGGCGUAAAGCGCGCGUAGGCGGUCUGAUAAGCCGGUUGUGAAAGCCCCGGGCUCAACCUGGGAACGGCAUCCGGAACUGUCAGGCUAGAGUGCAGGAGAGGAAGGUAGAAUUCCCGGUGUAGCGGUGAAAUGCGUAGAGAUCGGGAGGAAUACCAGUGGCGAAGGCGGCCUUCUGGACUGACACUGACGCUGAGGUGCGAAAGCGUGGGUAGCAAACAGGAUUAGAUACCCUAGUGUC
rnacentral:rRNA from 1 species